GCCGGAGUGGCGGAAUUGGCAGACGCGCAUGGUUCAGGUCCAUGUGCCCGUUAAGGGCGUGGAGGUUCAAAUCCUCUCUCCGGUA
rnacentral:tRNA from 1 species